rnacentral:rRNA from 1 species
GAUGAACGCUGGCGGCGUGCCUAAUACAUGCAAGUCGAGCGAACGGACGAGAAGCUUGCUUUUCUGAUGUUAGCGGCGGACGGGUGAGUAACACGUGGAUAACCUACCUAUAAGACUGGGAUAACUUCGGGAAACCGGAGCUAAUACCGGAUAAUAUUUUGAACCGCAUGGUUCAAAAGUGAAAGACGGUCUUGCUGUCACUUAUAGAUGGAUCCGCGCUGCAUUAGCUAGUUGGUAAGGUAACGGCUUACCAAGGCAACGAUGCAUAGCCGACCUGAGAGGGUGAUCGGCCACACUGGAACUGAGACACGGUCCAGACUCCUACAGGAGGCAGCAGUAGGGAAUCUUCCGCAAUGGGCGAAAGCCUGACGGAGCAACGCCGCGUGAGUGAUGAAGGUCUUCGGAUCGUAAAACUCUGUUAUUAGGGAAGAACAUAUGUGUAAGUAACUGUGCACAUCUUGACGUUACCUAAUCAGAAAGCCACGGCUAACUCCGUG